UACAGAGGGUGCGAGCGUUGUUCGGAAUUACUGGGCGUAAAGCGCGCGCAGGCGGCUCUUUAAGUCUGACGGUGAAAUGCCGGGGCUCAACCCCGUGCCCGCCGCGGAUACUGGAGGGCUGGAGACACGUAGAGGCAAGCGGAAUUCCGGGUGUAGCGGUGGAAUGCGUAGAGAUCCGGAAGAACACCGGAGGCGAAGGCGGCUUGCUGGGCGUAGUCUGACGCUGAGGCGCGAAAGCUAGGGGAGCAAACAGG
rnacentral:rRNA from 1 species